rnacentral:piRNA from 1 species
UAUUAUCUCACAGUUCUGGAAGACAGAAG